UACGGAGGGUGCAAGCGUUGUCCGGAAUCAUUGGGCGUAAAGAGUUCGUAGGCGGUAUGUUAAGUCUGGUGUUAAAGCCCGAAGCUCAACUUCGGUUCGGCACUGGAUACUGGCAAACUUGAAUUCGGUAGAGGUAAAGGGAAUUCCUGGUGUAGCGGUGAAAUGCGUAGAUAUCAGGAGGAACAUCGGUGGCGUAAGCGCUUUACUGGGCCGACAUUGACGCUGAGGAACGAAAGCUAGGGUAGCAAAUGGG
rnacentral:rRNA from 1 species